rnacentral:rRNA from 1 species
CCGGUUGAUCCCGCCGGACCUGACUGCUAUCGGAUUGAUACUAAGCCAUGCGAGUCAUUGUAGCAAUACAAGGCAGACGGCUCAGUAACGCGUAGUCAACCUAACCUAUGGGCGGGAAUAACCUCGGGAAACUGAGAAUAAUGCCCGAUAGAACAUUAUGCCUGGAAUGGUUUAUGUUCCAAAUGAUUUAUCGCCGUAGGAUGGGACUGCGGCCUAUCAGUUUGUUGGUGAGGUAAUGGCCCACCAAGACUAUUACAGGUACGGGCUCUGAGAGGAGUAGCCCGGAGAUGGGUACUGAGACACGGACCCAGGCCCUAUGGGGCGCA